rnacentral:rRNA from 1 species
UACGUAGGGUGCGAGCGUUGUCCGGAAUUAUUGGGCGUAAAGGGCUCGUAGGCGGUUUGUCGCGUCGGGAGUGAAAACCCAGGGCUUAACUCUGGGCUUGCUUUCGAUACGGGCAGACUAGAGGUAUGCAGGGGAGAACGGAAUUCCUGGUGUAGCGGUGAAAUGCGCAGAUAUCAGGAGGAACACCGGUGGCGAAGGCGGUUCUCUGGGCAUUACCUGACGCUGGAGGAGCGAAACGUGUGGGGAGCGAAACAGG